CCUUGAACACUGAACUAUGGGGAAUAUUGCGCAAUGGGCGAAAGCCUGACGCAGCGACGCCGCGUGAGGGAUGAAGGUUUUCGGAUCGUAAACCUCUGUCAGAAGGGAAGAAACUACAUUGUGCUAAUCAGCAGUGUACUGACGGUACCUUCAAAGGAAGCACCGGCUAACUCCGUGCCAGCAGCCGCGGUAAUACGGAGGGUGCAAGCGUUAAUCGGAAUUACUGGGCGUAAAGCGCACGUAGGCUGUAGUGUAAGUCAGGGGUGAAAUCCCACGGCUCAACCGUGGAACUGCCUUUGAUACUGCACAACUUGAAUCCGGGAGAGGGUGGCGGAAUUCCAUGUGUAGGAGUGAAAUCCGUAAAUAUCUGGAGGAACAUCAGUGGCGAAGGCGGCCACCUGGACCGGUAUUGACGCUGAGGUGCGAAAGCGUGGGGAGCAAACAGGGAUUAGAUACCCUGGUAGUCCACGCUGUAAACGAUGGAUGCUAGAUGUCGGGGAGUAUUCUUCGGUGUCGUAGUUAACGCGUUAAGCAUCCCGCCUGGGGAGUACGGUCGCAAGGCUGAAAC
rnacentral:rRNA from 1 species